CAGAUUGAACGCUGCCGGCAUGCUUUACACAUGCAAGUCGAACGGUAACAGGGAGCUUGCUCCGCUGACGAGUGGCGAACGGGUGAGUAAUAUAUCGGAACGUACCCAAGAGUGGGGGAUAACGUAGCGAAAGUUACGCUAAUACCGCAUACGAUCCAAGGAUGAAAGCAGGGGACCUUCGGGCCUUGUGCUCCUGGAGCGGCCGAUAUCUGAUUAGCUAGUUGGUGAGGUAAAGGCUCACCAAGGCGACGAUCAGUAGCUGGUCUGAGAGGACGACCAGCCACACUGGAACUGAGACACGGUCCAGACUCCUACGGGAGGCAGCAGUGGGGAAUUUUGGACAAUGGGCGCAAGCCUGAUCCAGCAAUGCCGCGUGAGUGAAGAAGGCCUUCGGGUUGUAAAGCUCUUUUGUCAGGGAAGAAACGGCUGUGGCUAAUAUCCACGGCUAAUGACGGUACCUGAAGAAUAAGCACCGGCUAACUACGUGCCAGCAGCCGCGGUAAUACGUAGGGUGCAAGCGUUAAUCGGAAUUACUGGGCGUAAAGCGUGCGCAGGCGGUUUUGUAAGUCUGUCGUGAAAUCCCCGGGCUCAACCUGGGAAUUGCGAUGGAGACUGCAAGGCUAGAAUCUGGCAGAGGGGGGUAGAAUUCCACGUGUAGCAGUGAAAUGCGUAGAGAUGUGGAGGAACACCGAUGGCGAAGGCAGCCCCCUGGGUCAAGAUUGACGCUCAUGCACGAAAGCGUGGGGAGCAAACAGGAUUAGAUACCCUGGUAGUCCACGCCCUAAACGAUGUCUACUAGUUGUCGGGUUUUAAUUAACUUGGUAACGCAGCUAACGCGUGAAGUAGACCGCCUGGGGAGUACGGUCGCAAGAUUAACUUAAAGGAAUGACGAAGGCG
rnacentral:rRNA from 1 species